rnacentral:rRNA from 1 species
CUAAGGUUAGUGGCGGACGGGUGGAGUAACGACGUGGAAACCGUAGCCGUAUACUGGGGAGUAACACUUAGAAAUAAGGUGCUAAUACCGCAUAAGCGCACAGACCCGCAUGGGACAGUGUGAAAAACUCCGGUGGUAUACGAUGGUUCCGCGUCUGAUUAGCUUGUUGGCGGGGUAACGGCCCACCAAGGCGACGAUCAGUAGCCGGCCUGAGAGGGUGAACGGCCACAUUGGGACUGAGACACGGCCCAGACUCCUACGGAAGGCAGCAG